AAAGAUACAAAAAUAUUAGAGAAAGAGCCAUGGCUUCUAUUUUUAGGAUUACAAUAUUAACCACAUUUCUUAUUGGAAUUUUAGGGUUUAGUUGCUUUGUGAAAAGUGAAAAAAAUGUCAAAGUUGACCAUAUAUGCAAUGGUGGUACGUAUGACAAGAGAGCUGAUCGCACUUUUGUAGAGAACUUGAAUUUUGUUCUUGGAUCAUUAAGGGAUGAGACUCCAAAAGUAAGUGGUUACAAUUACUAUGUAACCUCUCCUUUUCCUAAUUAUCCUUUGGCUUAUGGCCAUGCUACUUGUGACUCAACUAUAUCAUUUUCAGACUGUGAUCUUUGCAUGGGUAAUGCAAGACAAUUCUUGUUGACCAUUUGUGAUAGUCGUAUUGGAGGUCAAGUCUAUUUAGGUGAUUGCUCAAUGAGGUAUGAACAAUACUCAUUCACCAAAUAAAUUAGAGGCUGGCUUUAUACAAAAUAUAGUAUUUGGCAAUAAAUAAAGUCGAUUUAGGCUGGUUCUGACAAGGAAAUUUAUAUCCUUGAUGUCUUAAUGUUGUCCUUAACUUUUAUUUCCUUUUGUUCGUCUUCUUUUGUUAUCGUUAAUGUUUUACUGUUGUAAUAGUGUUGUUUGAGUUCAAAAUAAAUUAUGUUAUGCUUGAUAUGUUCCACUGAUGUGUGAUUUGUAAUGGUUGUUUAUGUUGCAUGAAUUUUCCAGUUUAUAAUGUGUUUGAAAAUUCGUACUUCUCAUCGUAGUUAUCUAAUAUAGAAACAGCUAGAAUAUAUUAGAAUAUAAUUAUAUGUAUCUUUUUAUUAUUGGUAGAAUAUUCUCUCAUUAU
rnacentral:lncRNA from 1 species